rnacentral:rRNA from 1 species
UGUUUCCCAGGCUGGCCUGCGGAAGGAUCAUUACAGAGUCAUGCCAGAAGGGUAGACCUCCCACCCUUGUGUAUUAUUACUUUGUUGCUUUGGCGAGCUGCCUUCGGGCCUUGUAUGCUCGCCAGAGAAUACCAAAACUCUUUUUAUUAAUGUCGUCUGAGUACUAUAUAAUAGUUAAAACUUUCAACAACGGAUCUCUUGGUUCUGGCAUCGAUGAAGAACGCAGCGAAAUGCGAUAAGUAAUGUGAAUUGCAGAAUUCAGUGAAUCAUCGAAUCUUUGAACGCACAUUGCGCCCCUUGGUAUUCCGGGGGGCAUGCCUGUUCGAGCGUCAUUUCAACCCUCAAGCUUAGCUUGGUAUUGAGUCUAUGUCAGUAAUGGCAGGCUCUAAAAUCAGUGGCGGCGCCGCUGGGUCCUGAACGUAGUAAUAUCUCUCGUUACAGGUUCUCGGUGUGCUUCUGCCAAAACCCAAAUUUUUCUAUGGUGACCUCGGAUCAGGUAGGGACACAAGCCGAACCCAAGCAUAUCAAAAGCCGGGAGGAAA